rnacentral:rRNA from 1 species
UUAAGUUAGAAAGGGCGCACGGUGGAUGCCUUGACACUAGGAGUCGAUGAAGGACGGGACUAACGCCGAUAUGCUUCGGGGAGCUGUAAGUAAGCUUUGAUCCGAAGAUUUCCGAAUGGGGAAACCCACUAUACGUAAUGGUAUGGUAUCCUUACCUGAAUACAUAGGGUAUGGAAGACAGACCCAGGGAACUGAAACAUCUAAGUACCUGGAGGAAGAGAAAGCAAAUGCGAUUUCCUGAGUAGCGGCGAGCGAAACGGAAUCUAGCCCAAACCAAGAGGCUUGCCUCUUGGGGUUGUAGGACAUUCUAUACGGAGUUACAAAGGAACGAGGUAGACGAAGCGACCUGGAAAGGUCCGUCACAGAGGGUAAUAACCCCGUAGUCGAAACUUCGUUCUCUCUUGAAUGUAUCCUGAGUACGGCGGAACACGUGAAAUUCCGUCGGAAUCUGGGAGGACCAUCUCCCAAGGCUAAAUACUCCCUAGUGAUCGAUAGUGAACCAGUACCGUGAGGGAAAGGUGAAAAGCACCCCGGAAGGGGAGUGAAAGAGAUCCUGAAACCGUGUGCCUACAAAUAGUCAGAGCCCGUUAAUGGGUGAUGGCGUGCCUUUUGUAGAAUGAACCGGCGAGUUACGAUCCCGUGCGAGGUUAAGCUGAAGAGGCGGAGCCGCAGCGAAAGCGAGUCUGAAUAGGGCGUUUAGUACGUGGUCGUAGACCCGAAACCAGGUGAUCUACCCAUGUCCAGGGUGAAGUUCAGGUAACACUGAAUGGAGGCCCGAACCCACGCACGUUGAAAAGUGCGGGGAUGAGGUGUGGGUAGCGGAGAAAUUCCAAUCGAACCUGGAGAUAGCUGGUUCUCCCCGAAAUAGCUUUAGGGCUAGCCUUAAGUGUAAGAGUCUUGGAGGUAGAGCACUGAUUGAACUAGGGGUCCUCAUCGGAUUACCGAAUUCAGUCAAACUCCGAAUGCCAAUGACUUAUCCUUAGGAGUCAGACUGCGAGUGAUAAGAUCCGUAGUCAAGAGGGAAACAGCCCAGAUCGCCAGCUAAGGUCCCAAAGUGUGUAUUAAGUGGAAAAGGAUGUGGAGUUGCUUAGACAACUAGGAUGUUGGCUCAGAAGCAGCCACCAUUUAAAGAGUGCGUAAUAGCUCACUAGUCGAGUGACUCUGCGCCGAAAAUGUACCGGGGCUAAAUACACCACCGAAGCUGCGAAUUGAUACCAAUGGUAUCAGUGGUAGGGGAGCGUUCUAAGUGCAGUGAAGUCAGACCGGAAGGACUGGUGGAGCGCUUAGAAGUGAGAAUGCCGGUAUGAGUAGCGAAAGACGGGUGAGAAUCCCGUCCACCGAAUGCCUAAGGUUUCCUGAGGAAGGCUCGUCCGCUCAGGGUUAGUCAGGACCUAAGCCGAGGCCGACAGGCGUAGGCGAUGGACAACAGGUUGAUAUUCCUGUACCACCUCUUUAUCGUUUGAGCAAUGGAGGGACGCAGAAGGAUAGAAGAAGCGUGCGAUUGGUUGUGCACGUCCAAGCAGUUAGGCUGAUAAGUAGGCAAAUCCGCUUAUCGUGAAGGCUGAGCUGUGAUGGGGAAGCUCCUUAUGGAGCGAAGUCUUUGAUUCCCCGCUGCCAAGAAAAGCUUCUAGCGAGAUAAAAGGUGCCUGUACCGCAAACCGACACAGGUAGGCGAGGAGAGAAUCCUAAGGUGUGCGAGAGAACUCUGGUUAAGGAACUCGGCAAAAUGACCCCGUAACUUCGGGAGAAGGGGUGCUUUCUUAACGGAAAGCCGCAGUGAAUAGGCCCAAGCGACUGUUUAGCAAAAACACAGGUCUCUGCGAAGCCGUAAGGCGAAGUAUAGGGGCUGACACCUGCCCGGUGCUGGAAGGUUAAGGAGAGGGGUUAGCGUAAGCGAAGCUCUGAACUGAAGCCCCAGUAAACGGCGGCCGUAACUAUAACGGUCCUAAGGUAGCGAAAUUCCUUGUCGGGUAAGUUCCGACCCGCACGAAAGGUGUAACGAUUUGGGCACUGUCUCAACCAGAGACUCGGUGAAAUUAUAGUACCUGUGAAGAUGCAGGUUACCCGCGACAGGACGGAAAGACCCCGUGGAGCUUUACUGUAGCCUGAUAUUGAAUUUUGGUACAGUUUGUACAGGAUAGGCGGGAGCCAUUGAAACCGGAGCGCUAGCUUCGGUGGAGGCGCUGGUGGGAUACCGCCCUGACUGUAUUGAAAUUCUAACCUACGGGUCU